CUCACUCCCUAGCUCCAGCCUUAUCAAACAAGAAUCAACCAAAGCAACCAAAUCAUCCGAUACUAUAGCCUACACCACCAAGUCAAAAGUUCAAAAAACCUUCAUCGAUCAACAGCAAUGGCUCUAAGUCUCUUUGGCAAUGGCCGACGCAGCAACGUCUUCGACCCAUUUUCCCUCGACAUCUGGGACCCCUUCCAGGGAUUUGGCCCUCUCAUGAACUCCUCCUCCACCGCCGGCGAAACCUCCGCCUUCGCGCAGACCCGAAUCGACUGGAAGGAGACUCCGGAGGCUCAUGUCUUCAAGGCGGACCUGCCCGGACUGAAGAAGGAAGAAGUGAAGGUUGAGCUGGAGGAAGGGAAUGUCCUUCAGAUCAGCGGAGAGAGGAGCAAGGAGCAGGAGGAGAAGAACGACAAGUGGCACAGGGUGGAGAGGAGCAGCGGCAAGUUCAUGAGGAGGUUCAGGCUGCCGGACAAUGCAAAGGUGGAUCAGGUUAAGGCUGCUAUGGAGAAUGGGGUGCUUACUGUGACUGUGCCCAAAGCACCGGAGCCGAAGCCCCAGGUUAAGAGCAUCGACAUCUCUGGAGCCUAAAUUUUCAAGAUCUUCAGGCCAUCACAUCUUGCUACUUUUCAUCAUUGUGUUUUUAGUCGUGUCUAGAUGGAGGUAAAUUUAUAAUUUUUUCUGAUGAUGUUUUGCAAAUUUGGGACAUAAUCUACGAUGUGCUAGUUGGUGUUCUGCUUUUUCUGUUUCUUAAUUCUGUAUCUCAUGUGGUGGUUUUGAUUUGACCUAGUAUGAGUGUUUUCGAGGUUCUUCGUUUAAUUUUAUUUCUCAUCGUCGAAAGAAUUGUUUGCUAUAUCUGCUAGGUACAUAUAAGCUGUUAACUUGUAAACCCUUGGGCCUAGCAAAGGAUACCUCUCGUUACAUGCGGUAACGUUAUUAUGUAUGAACUUGAAUAAAUUAUGAAGAGCUUGAAUAAAUUUAGGUUGUUGUCAGGUAACUUGUUAUACCUCACUUUAUAAUAUAAUAACGUUAAGAUAUUGUGAGGUAAACAAUCAAGUUCUAGGAGGGCAUCCGAGCCGGAUUACUAAAAAAUAGUUCGUUAUGUGUUUAACGCAUGGCUCCGUUAUUUUCAUACAACUAGUAAGUUUAAUACAAACAAAUAAUAUUUUUUCUUUAAAAAAAAUGACCGGUAUUAGAGCAGAAUAGUUAACGGAGUUAGAAGUUGACUCGAACUCUGUUUCCAUAUCUUGUUUCCUUUCAAAUUUGGGAUGUUACACAUAGCAAAGCCCUGAAAUCCUACUUCAAAGAGAAAAAGAGAAAAACCGUCAACAUAUAUAUAACGUUACAACUCAAAACUAUUGAUGAGAUUUCCAUACAAAAAAGUAGAAGGCAACACAAAAUCGAUCGAUGAUAUACCCUACAAACCAAAGCUGGAACGACCUUCCUAUUGGAUCACGGCUCAACACUGAAACAGACGUCUCGCACUUCCGUGUAGUUUGCAAGGCAUGGCGGUCCUCUAUUCCUCCCCGACCAGUCCUUUCCUUAAUCAUUAUUCGAAAGAUUCAACCUUACUACAAGACCUUCUUCCUGCGCGAGACUAUAGUCUAUCGUUUGGCACCACCAACUCAUCACCACGACGAUUGGGGCAGCUGGGUGAUUAAGCUCGAAAAGGACAUAGACAUGGUACUCAUAUGAUAGUUCAUCCAUUCUCUGAAACUCCGUUCGAGAUAGACCGGAUUCCCAAGGCUUUGGGGUUCCAACAAAAAUUAAACUUAUUGGAGUUUCAAGUAUUUGAACUAGGCAAUUAAAUUUAGUUUACCUCUUUCAGGUUUAAGGUGACAUCUAGUCUGAAAUUUUUAAUUUCAUCUGAAUACCCUAAAAGCUUUUCAAUGUUUAGGGUGACAUCAUAUUAGUUCGAAAUUUUUAAUUUCAUCUGAAUACCUUAAAAGCUCUUCAAUUUUAAUCAACUAUUAGUCUCACUUUUUAACCGUUAACUAUGAUAUUAGGGCUCACUUUUUAGGGUAAAAUUGUCAUCUCAAAGACACAGCGAUGUGCAUCACCACAAAAAAGAUUACUUCAUCUGCUUCUCCUCCUCUCGUCCAAUAAUGGUGUCCUCUUCAAUUUUCCAAUUCCCCUCGUUGUGUCAGGGGCGAAACCAACUUAGUCUUGACUAGACUGGAGCCCUAGUGAGAAUUUGAAGUCUAAGAAAAAAACCACAUCACAUCUUAAAAAAGCGAUACGAAACCACUAUUUUCUUAUGGGUGCUGCCUAGCAUGGAAGAGACGACAAUGAGGGGCGAGAACUCUUUGUGAAAAAAGAAAAGAUCGUAAUGAGAUCAUGAGAGAUAAGUGCGGUGUUUUUGACCCGCUACUUUUUUUUUAGAAAUAGAUAUAGAGGGGAGACUUAUCUAUUUGGGAAAUACUCAUCUGCAUCACUUCCCUUUUAUUAAAACAAGGGCUGUGGUAAAUUUUUUAAUAUAUACAUGUGUCUUCUUAAUAACCACCGAUAGGUAGUGACAAACAAAAACAAUCGAUCUUUUACAAUAAUAACUUACUGUUGUAGAUCAUUAAUCAGUCUUGAUACAGAGAAUUGUAGUAGAGAAACAAUGAAAAGAAUUUGUUGACAUUAAGGUGGUGAUUAAUAAUUUUGAAGAUUUGGUGCUCAUAAAGCAAGUAUUAGUUAGUUUAUAUUUAUGUGUUUCUUGUAUUAUGUUUCAUGUUGUAUUUCAGUUUAUACAAACACGUUUUAGAGUAAGGCUUGUUAUGUCUUUAUGUAUGUUUUUUUUUUAAUUAACCAAAAUUUUUUCACACCAUCGAGUUUUAUCAAAUUUUUUUUCAUAUGUUACAAUUAACCCGGGUGACAUUUUUAUCCUGGCUCCGCCACUGAUUGUGUCCCAAAGCCCAUAUACACUCAACUUCCACCAAACCCCAUUUCACCACCAUCAAAUGCGAUCAACUUAAGAAACAAAAAACCAAAGUGAUCAACUCAAGAAUUACAUCUACGGGGGCUAAAUUGAAACAAUCACUAAAUUUAUAGGCAUAUGAAUCUCUAAUUUCAGAAAUAGAGAGCGAGAUAUCGGAGGGAGAGUUGGUCAGGGAGGAGCAGGUGGAGGAGGAUAGAGAGGUUCUUUUUGAGGAUAGGAGGAGACGACGAUCUCGACAACGUUGCUUUCCAAGAGGAGGUGGGUGACUGGAAGUGGGUCCUAAUCAUGGUUGACUGGUUGAGGAGGUGGUGGAAGAGGUCGUCCUCUGUUAUUCUGGAUUCAUUCGAAGGUGGCUCUUUUAGUUUUGGGUUUAUGGGAUUGAGGUAGGGGAACAAGGUUUCGGGGAUUAAGACUUCAUAGUGGUAUCUUUUAGUGAGGGAGUUUUCAAAGCAGGUGAAAUGGAAAUCAAGUUCAGAUUUCAGCCAUUUGAGAGAGAGAGAGGACGUCAAAGUGGACUAGGGAAGAAGAAGACGAGUAUUUUUUUAAGGGAAAAUGUCAAUUUAGUACUGAUUUAAAUCUCUCAUUUUUUAUUUCAAUGAUAAUAUUUUUCAUGAGUCUAUUUUAAUAUAAGGUAAUAUUUUUUAUGUCUAAAUGCACAAAUCUUUACGAAAGUCUUAACAAACUAUAUUAUUUUAAGAUUAUUUUACCUCAUCUCUUAAACAUGCAUAUAGAUAGAAAGUGGAAAAGAGAGAAUAUUUGGUCAGAACCUCACCGGACUUCGGUCAUCGGCCGUCGGACUCUGGUCACCGGUCGCAGGACUUCAGUUGCCGGAUUUCUCCGGUCAUCGAUAAGUCGGUUACUGACUCCCAGUAACUCAAAUUUUCUCCGGUCGCUGGAUUCCGGUCACCGGUAACUCAGUUAUUGACCCCAAAUAAUUUGUUACUGUCCCCCAAUAAUCAGUUACUGACCUUCAGUAACUCAAAAUUUCUCCGGUCGUCAGAUUACGAUCAUCGGUAACUUGGUUACUAACCUCUAAUAAUCAGUUACUGACCCUCAAUAAUCAACUUAUGUUAGCUUAAUGUAAUAGAAAAGAAGAAAUAUCAGCUAAUAAUCGAGUUACUGACCCCAAUAAUCGGGUUAUUGACCCCAAUUUAGUUACUGAUCUCCAAUAAUCAGUUAUUAACCCUCAAUAACACUUAGUAAACAAGUUAUUGAUCUUAAGUUUUUUCUGUCUUGAAUUGACAAUUUUAUCCUCAAAAGUGGGUUACAGUAUCAUAGUUAACAAUCAAAUUAGGCGGAAUCUGUAAAAUCUGGAUCUUGAGUGUCUCACACUCACGAAUUCUUUUCUUUCAGAUCUGAAUUGAUGAACAUGUAUGACAUGCCUAUAAUAAUUAAGAAAAUUAAAAUUUAGAAAUUUUUGAAUUUUAUGCUAAAUGGAAGAUUGAUGAAGUAACCAGUGCAAAACGGAUGAGAAAUUAAAAUUCAAGGGUUUAGAAUUUCAUAUCAUGGAAAGUUGAAGACGAAGAGAAACGGAGUUGACGACCGACAGCUCUCAUUUACGAUGUUGUGCGCGUGUCAGUGUCUCAUUGGUUGAGAACACCACGUCAGCAAUGUUGGGUAAAAUCUAGUCUAUUCCUCUAUUCUUUUCUCCCGACACUAAACUCGGCACGGGACAGACACGUGUUCGUACCAGACAGUAGUAGAAGAUGAUAGAAUCCAUUAGAACAAUCUCGCACAUCUUCAUCUUCUCUGAACAAUCAUGAAACCGCCUGAACCUUCUUUCUCAUUCUAUAUAUACCUCACUCCCAUGGCUCCAACCUCAUCAAACAAGAAUCAACCAAAGCAACCAAGUCAUCCGAUACUAGCCUACACCAACAAAUCAAGAGUUCAAAAAACCUUCAUCGAUCAACAGCAAUGGCUCUAAGUCUCUUUGGCAAUGGUGGCCGACGCAGCAACGUCUUCGACCCAUUUUCCCUCGACAUCUGGGACCCUUUCCAGGGCUUUGGCCCUCUCAUGAACUCCUCCUCCACUGCCGGCGAAACCUCCACCUUCGCGCAGACCCGAAUCGACUGGAAGGAGACUCCGGAGGCUCAUGUCUUCAAGGCAGACCUGCCCGGACUGAAGAAGGAAGAAGUGAAGGUUGAGCUGGAGGAAGGGAAUGUCCUUCAGAUCAGCGGAGAGAGGAGCAAGGAGCAGGAGGAGAAGAACGACAAGUGGCACAGGGUGGAGAGGAGCAGCGGCAAGUUCAUGAGGAGGUUCAGGCUGCCGGACAAUGCAAAGGUGGAUCAGGUUAAGGCUGCUAUGGAGAAUGGGGUGCUUACUGUGACUGUGCCCAAAGCACCGGAGC
rnacentral:lncRNA from 1 species